AUAAAAGCCAACCACCUUCAAUCUGAUAAUUCUGGGCAGAAAACUGAAUAUAGUUUGGACCAGAUCUUCGAGAAAAAUUCAUAUACACCAAAUUAAGUAGUUCUGUUAAAAGGCUGCUAUAAAAAUGCACAUCAUCAUGAGAUAUACAGAACUUUAGAAUCCAGCUAAGAGUAGAGAAAUACUGAAUUUCUUAAUUUAUCUGGAGGGGGCUGUAAAUCCAAAG
rnacentral:antisense_RNA from 1 species